rnacentral:rRNA from 1 species
GAUGAACGCUGGCGGCGUGCCUAAUACAUGCAAGUCGAGCGAACGGACGAGAAGCUUGCUUUUCUGAUGUUAGCGGCGGACGGGUGAGUAACACGUGGAUAACCUACCUAUAAGACUGGGAUAACUUCGGGAAACCGGAGCUAAUACCGGAUAAUAUUUUGAACCGCAUGGUUCAAAAGUGAAAGACGGUCUUGCUGUCACUUAUGGAUGGAUCCGCGCUGCAUUAGCUAGUCGGUAAGGUAACGGCUUACCAAGGCAACGAUGCAUAGCCGACCUGAGAGGGUGAUCGGCCACACUGGAACUGAGACACGGUCCAGACUCCUACGGGAGGCAGCAGUAGGGAAUCUUCCGCAAUGGGCGAAAGCCUGACGGAGCAACGCCGCGUGAGUGAUGAAGGUCUUCGGAUCGUAAAACUCUGUUAUUAGGGAAGAACAUAUGUGUAAGUAACUGUGCACAUCUUGACGGUACCUAAUCAGAAAGCCACGGCUAACUACGUG